GAGACUGGCAGAGGGUUUACACUAUGUCACUGUCAUUGAUUUUUGCAGGGAAAUCCAGGUUUUGGCAUUCCUGGUCAACCAGGGCUGAAGGGAGACACAGGGGACAGGGGAAACGUAGGCUUGUCUGGCAGACCAGGUUACAAGGGAGAAAUAGGUCCGAAGGGAGAAAAAGGUGAACCAGGAUUACCUGGGAAACCAGGCGAGACCGGCCUAAGAGGUAAAGAUGGAGAACCAG
rnacentral:lncRNA from 1 species